rnacentral:sRNA from 1 species
UUGACAAUACUGGAGGCUGAAGUUCUCUAUUUAUCCAUAAAACAGGUGUAAUGCAUUUAACAGCAGUGCAGGCUUCCUCACACUGCUGCACCAGUGUAUGUCAACCCUGAUCUUGAGGGGAAAUCACUAGGGGAUUAAGAGCAAUUUGAAUCUUUGACCUCUUUUGCCAGAGGCUGCC